ensembl:lncRNA
GUUCAGUGUGUAGUGUGUGGUGCUGGUGUGUGUAGUGUGUGUAGUGUGUGUAGUGUGUGUGUGGUGUGUGUAGUGUGUGUGUAGUGUGUGUAGUGUGUGUAGUGUGUGUAGUGUGUGUGUGUAGUGUGUGUAGUGUGUGUAGUGUGUGUGUGUUGCAGCCAGGCUGUUCAGUGUGUAGUGUGUGUGCUGUGUGUGUAGUGUGUGUAGUGUGUGUGUGGUGUGUGUAGUGUGUGUAGUGUGUGUAGUGUGUGUGUGUAGUGUGUGUAGUGUGUGUAGUGUGUGUAGUGUGUGUGUAGUGUGUGUAGUGUGUGUGUGUGGUGCAGCCAG